UGAGUGAAAUGUGGGGUGGGGACUGCUAUCCUCAAAGCUGCUCCUGCCUGGCGGAGGGUAUUCAGGGAGGACUCGGAGCACAGACCCUGCCCUGCCAACCUCCUAGCCUUUGAGUCAGGACACAUCACUGAACCUCCCCAAACCUCAGUUUCCUCAUUUGCUAAAUGGACCAUGACAUUUGCUUAACCUGGAGGCUGCAGGGAAAAUUUCCUGCAUCAAAAAUAAGAGUAACGCCUCCCCUCAAUUCUUUCCCACGUGCCAGGUACUCUCAGGAGGUUCUGCUUACGCAGAUGUGCGUGAAAGUAUUUUGUAUCGUCACAAUCUAAAGAGCUAUAAGGCAUUUUUCUUCUUUUGAAUCGUAGUCAAAGUGCCCCUUUUCACAGAAGGUCCACAGGGAAGUCACAGUUAGGUCUGAGCCAUGUACCUCAAUGCAGGAAAUUAUCCUUACCCUGGAAGAGGUUCACAGAAGCAACCACAAGGAUGGUUAAAUCCUCUCACAAAACCUGGCUUCGGGGGACAUAACGGAUGCUCCACAUGGGUGGCUGGAAGACAGUGCAGAAUCUCGGUAUUAAGACUUGGGGCAUCAUGUGUUGCUGCAAAACUUCAUCAGGGACACUUUCGGCCUCAGGAAAUUAAUCUUCGAAUGGCAUGAGAUGCAUGGGGGCACUUGAGCACUUUGCAAUGUGUGCAAUGAGAAUACAUUUCCAGGAAACUACUCCGCGUUUCCUUCAUCCCCUAAUGACCUGCCUGGGAACAGGCUGCACCUGCACACAGGGUCUCCUUUCCCACUUGAAGAAAAGCACAGCAUAUG
rnacentral:lncRNA from 1 species